CUUUCAACUGAGCUACCAGAAGCUCCACCCCGCGUCCAUUCCAUUAUCAUCAUCUACCAGUAGCUUUUCCUCAUGUUUUUUUCAACCAAGCCGUCUCAGUUGCCAUAAAUCUUCGACUCCAACCACUGAUCAAUUUUGAACCCUAUUUCACUCGAUUUCUUCAACCUGGCUUGUAUUUUUCACGACUGGAAGAAAAAUUGGGAGAGCAGCUGUUGAUCGCUUUCAAAUCCCUAAUUCGCUCGAAGAAGUACUUUAUUUUUCUGUCGUGUUUUGUUUUUUCAUUUUAUCCUUGUUAUCCAUUCUUAUUUUCUGCAUAGUGUUGUUUUUCAAUGGUUGCUUAUAUUAGGCGCUUCAUGUUACCAUUGUCUGGCCGCAUCAACUCAUAACUAAAAGGUUAACCAGAGCAAAAUAUCCAACCGCAACAUGAGUCGGAGGAGCCAUCGCACCGGAGUGCGUCGUCGGGAUUGAUGCAAAAUCAACUGAAUUUGACUGAAAAUGGCUGAAAAUUGUCAACCCGAGGCGGAUCGCUGUUGCCGGAGCACGGCGGAGCCGCUGUGCUGGAUUUUCAAAACUGCCCGAGUGGGCCCUAAGACUGAUUUUAGAUUUAUUUGGAACAUUUAUAGGUACUAUAAGCGCAUUUCAGUUCUCGGAGAAAAAUUUAGGGAAUUUAGGGAUCGUCCGUAGGCGCAAUGAACCGUUUAGCUUUUUGACGUCAAAUCAAGUAAGGACCACUCACUCUAUUCUCUAUCAUAGAAUUGAAGUUUAAAUAUAUAAUAAUGUGGUAUUUUGUGCGAUUUUAGUAGACAUGCAUAAUUAAUUACUGAUUGCUAAUGGAGGCCGAACCAGAAAUUGUUCUCUGUUAAUAUAUGUUGAUGUAUUUUACAGUCUAAAAGUAUGAUAGUGUCUUAUCGAUUUAUUUUAUGAUUUGAAUGCAUGAAUUGCUGUCUUACAUUACUACUGUUUGAUUUAGGAUUUAAGACAUGAUUGUAUUACUUGAUGCAUGUUUAUUUGCUUAUGUGAUUAUGUUUGAUUUGGAAAUUGAGACUAAAGGAAAAUGGAAAAGUGGUGUGAUUAAAUAAACAGAUGGAACGACAGUCUUAUCAGAUAUUUUGGG